rnacentral:rRNA from 1 species
GCUUGUCUCAAAGAUUAAGCCAUGCAUGUCUAUGUAUAAACAAGUAUACUGUGAAACUGCGAAUGGCUCAUUAAAUCAGUUAUAGUUUAUUUGAUAGUACCUUACUACUUGGAUAACCGUGGUAAUUCUAGAGCUAAUACAUGCUAAAAAACCCGACUUCUGGAAGGGUUGUAUUUAUUAGAUAACAGACCAAUAUUCCUCGUGUCUAUUGUGGUGAAUCAUAGUAACUAAUCGGAUCGCAUGGGCUAGUCCCGCGACAAACCAUUCAAGUUUCUGCCCCAUCAGCUUUCGAUGGUAGUGUAUUGGACUACCAUGGCUUUUACGGGUAACGGAGGAUUAGGGUUCGAUUCCGGAGAGGGAGCCUGAGAAACGGCUACCACAUCUAAGGAAGGCAGCAGG